GUGCUUGCUUUGGCAGCACAUAUACUAAAAUUGGAACAAUAGAGAUUAGUGUGGCUCCUAGGCAAGGUUGACAUACAAAUUUGUGAAGUGUUUCAUAUUUAA